rnacentral:rRNA from 1 species
GAUGAACGCUGGCGGCGUGCCUAAUACAUGCAAGUCGAACGAGUGGCGGACGGGUGAGUAAUAUAUUGGAACGUGCCCAGUAGCGGGGGAUAACUACUCGAAAGAGUGGCUAAUACCGCAUACCAUUGGAGCGGCCGAUAUCGGAUUAGCUAGUUGGUGGGGUAAAGGCUCAACAAGGCAACGAUCCGUAGAUGGUUUGAGAGGACGACCAGCCACACUGGAACUGAGACUCGUCCCAGACUCCUACGGGAGGCAUCAGAUGGGAAUUGUGCACAAUGGGGGAAACCCUGAUCCAUCCACCCCGCGUGUCUGAGAGGGCCUUCGGGUUGUAAAGUACUUUUAGCAAAGAGGCGGUAUCUGCAGACUAAGCACCGGCUAACUACGUGCCAGCAGCCGCGGUAAUUC